rnacentral:tmRNA from 1 species
GGGGGCGAAAGGGUUUCGACCGGGCACUGGAAUCUGGAGUUGCGCACCGAGGUUGUCAGGAGGCCUCGUAAAACACCUGGCAAAAACCAAACAUGCCAAACCGGCAUACGCAAUGGCGGCUUAACUGACCGCCACGCCGACGUUCGCCCCGCCUGCGGACGGACGCCCGGCGACAAGCUCGCAGGCUUAGCCGCAACGUCCUUCGGUCCGUAGGGCAGCGGUGAAGGCGGCAAAACCGCCCAAUCGGGCUGGUCGGUCCGGAUCCUGUCAGUCGGAGCCGGACCGACGAGAACCAAAUGACUGACUACGUGCGUAGAAGCUCCAAGGGAAGGUUCUCGGGACGCGGGUUCGAUUCCCGCCGCCUCCACCA